GGAAUAUUGCACAAUGGGCGCAAGCCUGAUGCAGCCAUGCCGCGUGUAUGAAGAAGGCCUUCGGGUUGUAAAGUACUUUCAGUGGGGAGGAAGGCGAUGAAGUUAAUAACUUCGUCGAUUGACGUUACCCGCAGAAGAAGCACCGGCUAACUCCGUGCCAGCAGCCGCGGUAAUACGGAGGGUGCAAGCGUUAAUCGGAAUUACUGGGCGUAAAGCGCACGCAGGCGGUCUGUCAAGUCGGAUGUGAAAUCCCCGGGCUCAACCUGGGAACUGCAUUCGAAACUGGCAGGCUAGAGUCUUGUAGAGGGGGGUAGAAUUCCAGGUGUAGCGGUGAAAUGCGUAGAGAUCUGGAGGAAUACCGGUGGCGAAGGCGGCCCCCUGGACAAAGACUGACGCUCAGGUGCGAAAGCGUGGGGAGCAAACAGGAUUAGAUACCCGAG
rnacentral:rRNA from 1 species